rnacentral:rRNA from 1 species
GAAGGGGGCUAGCGUUGUUCGGGAUUACUGGGCGUAAAGGGCGCGUAGGCGGUCUUGUAAGUCAGGCGUGAAAGGCCCGGGCUCAACCUGGGGACUGCGCUUGAUACUGCGAGGCUUGAAUCCGGGAGAGGAUGGCGGAAUUCCCAGUGUAGAGGUGAAAUUCGUAGAUAUUGGGAAGAACACCGGUGGCGAAGGCGGCCAUCUGGACCGGUAUUGACGCUGAGGCGCGAAAGCGUGGGGAGCAAACAGGAUUAGAUACCCUGUAGUCCACGCCGUAAACGAUGAGUGCUAGACGUUGGGGAGCAUGCUCUUCGGUGUCGACGCUAACGCAUUAAGCACUCCGCCUGGGGAGUACGGCCGCAAGGUUA